rnacentral:rRNA from 1 species
GGUUAAGCGAAUAAGCGUACACGGUGGAUGCCUAGGCAAUCAGAGGCGAUGAAGGACGUGCUAAUCUGCGAAAAGCGUCGGUAAGGUGAUAUGAACCGUUAUACCCGACGAUAUCCGAAUGGGGAAACCCAGUAUCCAAUGGAUACUAUCAUUAACUGAAUCCAUAGGUUAAUGAGGCGAACCGGGAGAACUGAAACAUCUCAGUACCCCGAGGAAAAGAAAUCAACCGAGAUUCCCCUAGUAGCGGCGAGCGAACGGGGAGCAGCCCAGAGUCUUAAUCAAUAGCAGUGUCAGGAGAACGGUCUGGAAAGUCCGGCAGUAAAGGGUGAUAGCCCCGUAUCUGAAGAUGCUGUUAUUGUGAACUCGACGAGUAGGGCGGGACACGUGUUAUCCUGUCUGAAUAUGGGGGGACCAUCCUCCAAGGCUAAAUACUCCUGAUUGACCGAUAGUGAACCAGUACCGUGAGGGAAAGGCGAAAAGAACCCCGGCGAGGGGAGUGAAAAAGAACCUGAAACCGUGUACGUACAAGCAGUAGGAGCCUCUUUAUGGGGUGACUGCGUACCUUUUGUAUAAUGGGUCAGCGACUUAUAUUCUGUAGCAAGGUUAACCGUAUAGGGGAGCCGUAGGGAAACCGAGUCUUAACUGGGCGAAUGAGUUGCAGGGUAUAGACCCGAAACCCGGUGAUCUAUCCAUGGGCAGGUUGAAGGUUGGGUAACACUAACUGGAGGACCGAACCGACUAAUGUUGAAAAAUUAGCGGAUGACUUGUGGAUGGGGGUGAAAGGCCAAUCAAACCGGGAGAUAGCUGGUUCUCCCCGAAAGCUAUUUAGGUAGCGCCUCGUGAACUCAUCUUCGGGGGUAGAGCACUGUUUCGACUAGGGGGUCAUCCCGACUUACCAACUCGAUGCAAACUGCGAAUACCGAAGAAUGUUAUCACGGGAGACACACGGCGGGUGCUAACGUCCGUCGUGAAGAGGGAAACAACCCAGACCGCCAGCUAAGGUCCCAAAGUCAUGGUUAAGUGGGAAACGAAGUGGGAAGGCUCAGACAGCCAGGAUGUUGGCUUAGAAGCAGCCAUCAUUUAAAGAAAGCGUAAUAGCUCACUGGUCGAGUCGGCCCGCGCGGAAGAUGUAACGGGGCUAAACCAUGCACCGAAGCUGCGGCAGCGACACAUAGUGUUGUUGGGUAGGGGAGCGUUCUGUAAGCCUGCGAAGGUGUACUGUGAGGUAUGCUGGAGGUAUCAGAAGUGCGAAUGCUGACAUAAGUAACGAUAAUGCGGGUGAAAAACCCGCACGCCGGAAGACCAAGGGUUCCUGUCCAACGUUAAUCGGGGCAGGGUGAGUCGACCCCUAAGGCGAGGCUGAAAAGCGUAGUCGAUGGGAAACGGGUUAAUAUUCCCGUACUGGUGGUAACUGCGAUGGGGGAACGGAGAAGGCUAGGUUGUCCGGGCGACGGUCGUCCCGGUUCAAGCAGGUAGGCAGAGUGAUUAGGCAAAUCCGGUCACUUAAUGCUGAGAUGUGAUGACGAACCACUAAGGUGGUGAAGCAAUUGAUGCCCCGCUUCCAGGAAAAGCCUCUAAGCUUCAGGUUACCAACAAUCGUACCCCAAACCGACACAGGUGGUCAGGUAGAGAAUACUCAGGCGCUUGAGAGAACUCGGGUGAAGGAACUAGGCAAAAUGGUGCCGUAACUUCGGGAGAAGGCACGCUGGCGGUAGGUAAAGUCCCUUGCGGACGGCGCUGAAGCCAGUCGAAGAUACCAGCUGGCUGCAACUGUUUAUUAAAAACACAGCACUGUGCAAACACGAAAGUGGACGUAUACGGUGUGACGCCUGCCCGGUGCUGGAAGGUUAAUUGAUGGGGUCAGCCGCAAGGCGAAGCUCCUGAUCGAAGCCCCAGUAAACGGCGGCCGUAACUAUAACGGUCCUAAGGUAGCGAAAUUCCUUGUCGGGUAAGUUCCGACCUGCACGAAUGGCGUAAUGAUGGCCAGGCUGUCUCCACCCGAGACUCAGUGAAAUUGAACUCGCUGUGAAGAUGCAGUGUACCCGCGGCAAGACGGAAAGACCCCGUGAACCUUUACUAUAGCUUGACACUGAACAUUGAGCCUUGAUGUGUAGGAUAGGUGGGAGGCUUUGAAGUGUGGACGCCAGUCUGCAUGGAGCCAACCUUGAAAUACCACCCUUUAACGUUUGAUGUUCUAACCUAGGCCCAUAAACUGGGUCGGGGACCGUGUCUGGUGGGUAGUUUGACUGGGGCGGUCUCCUCCUAAAGAGUAACGGAGGAGCACGAAGGUUGGCUAAGCAUGGUCGGACAUCAUGCGGUUAGUGCAAAGGCAUAAGCCAGCUUGACUGCGAGAGUGACGGCUCGAGCAGGUACGAAAGUAGGUCUUAGUGAUCCGGUGGUUCUGAAUGGAAGGGCCAUCGCUCAACGGAUAAAAGGUACUCCGGGGAUAACAGGCUGAUACCGCCCAAGAGUUCAUAUCGACGGCGGUGUUUGGCACCUCGAUGUCGGCUCAUCACAUCCUGGGGCUGAAGUAGGUCCCAAGGGUAUGGCUGUUCGCCAUUUAAAGUGGUACGCGAGCUGGGUUUAGAACGUCGUGAGACAGUUCGGUCCCUAUCUGCCGUGGGCGUUGGAAGAUUGAGAGGGGUUGCUCCUAGUACGAGAGGACCGGAGUGAACGCACCACUGGUGUUCGGGUUGUCAUGCCAAUGGCAUUGCCCGGUAGCUAAGUGCGGAAGAGAUAACCGCUGAAAGCAUCUAAGCGGGAAACUUGCCUCGAGAUGAGUCUUCCCUGUCGCUUUAAGCGACCUAAAGGAACGUUUAAGACUAAGACGUUGAUAGGCUGGGUGUGUAAGCGUAGCGAUACGUUGAGCUAACCAGUACUAAUGAACCGUGAGGCUUAACCUG